rnacentral:lncRNA from 8 species
AUGCCCCAACAACUUAAGAACUUUCAGAAGUUCCAGAAUAUGGAUGAAUAUGGAGCCAUCCUGGUGCCUACUGACAAACUGGAAGAGAUGAAGAGAAGGUUCACCAGUGUAAGAGUCACUGCCAAGUACCAUGGGAUCAAACUGGAGUACCAGGAGCAUCGGCACACAGUCCUGGACCUGCUGGGCCAGAUCAACAGCAAGCUCCGUGUCUGGAAGAGACCCUACAUAUCCCAGGAGGCUGUGCGUGUGCUGCUGCAGGACUGGCAUGUGAGUAAUCCAGUUUAAUGACAGAGUUUGACGACUUUCUGUAGACAGGAGGCAAACUGGUAUAAGUUAUAGCCGGCUUAUAUGAAGUCAAUGACUAAUCUCUACAUUUGUUUUCUCACAGGAGUUAGUGGAUAAACAGGACCUACCAUCCUUGCUGGAGAGGGCUCUCCUUAAAUUGAAGCUUGUUGCAAGCAAAUAUACUAGCAAAUCUGCCCUAGGUAAGAGGACUGCGUGUGUGUGUGUGUGGUAAUGUGUUCUGAUUCAAUACGUUCUGAUCCAAAAUACAUCGCCAAAGAAAGAACUGUGUGUACCAGUCUUUCUAAUGUUCUUCGCAAAUUGAUUUAUUGAUGGUUAAUUGAUUGGUUGAUCUAAGUGAGGUUUUCCUGGCUGUUCCCCCAGCUACAGACUCCAAAUACAUAAUGUGCCAAGUGAAGGAGAUGGAGGAGGAGGGUGCUGUGGCUCUGGAGGGAGUGUCUACAGUGAAGAGCACUAUGGGCCGUGUGCUGUCUGCCUGGGACUCCUACUGUGACUGUUACAGCUCCCUGCAGGCCUGGCUGGAGCAGGCCUCAGCCUCCCACGCGCUCGCACAGAGUCCAGAGGUACAGACAGAAACCCUCCACUAAUCUGCAACCUUGUCCACAAUGCAGGGGUAUACCAUGCCUGCUCUUAACAAACCUAUUGCCAUUACUUCCCCAACAUGGGUUCCUAAAGAACAAAGUGUUCAAAAUGAUUAUUUAGCAAUAUUGAUGAUGAGGUGUUUGUGUGUUGCUUAGGUAACAUCUGAGAGUAUGUCAGAGUGGAGUUCCCGCCAGGCCCAUCUGAAUGAGGUGGGGAACUUCCUGGUCCAGCUGACUGACCCCAUGACCAGCCGAGCUCUGGCAGAUGACCUCUGCAAGCUCAACCUGCAUUGGGCGGACUUUAUCAAGAUAACACAAUUUGUAAGUCAGAGAUAACACUUCCAUUACAAAGUUAGAAUGCAAUGUUGUUAUGCUCUCUUGUUCAAUUUCGGUGAAAAUUAUGUUCAGCUAUAAAAAAAAGCUGUUAUUUUGCCCCAAGGCUGUUGUAGCUGUGCCCAGCGGAGCCGCAGCCAGACCCCAAGACCUCCAGGCCCUCUUCAGAGAGGCCACCCAGAUCCUGAAGGAACCUGUGGAGACCAUGUCUGGGCCCCUGAGGACCUACACGAAGAAACUACAGGUACACUGUUACUUCAACAUUAUUACAAUGGUCUCAGCGUUUUCUAACUAUAACUGAUCCUUUUGUAUACAUUUUCUUCCACAAAAAAAAUGCAUUUUAAUGGUGCUGUCUUUUUAUCUUGUUCAGUUCAUGAUGAGGAAGAUAAAGGAAGUGGAUAUGGAUGCCCUCUCCCCCUCCACAGAAUGCUCAGCUGAGACUCUACAGAAACUGAAGCUGGCUGUACCUGAGGUAAGGAUGAUGACUUCCUUCAUAUAUUUACUUUAAAUAUGAAAAUAUCAUUUUAUAUGCCUAAGGUCUUUUUUCUGGUCUGUGGGUUCUUAAUAUCUCGUGGACAGACUACGUAAACAUAAUCGAGCAUCUGUCCAAAUUACGUGAGAUUUUUGUUUGCGGUACUGAAUGUGUACGCUGUUUGUUUCUCUGUGUGUGUGUGUGUCUGUAGGUGAUGCAGACGCUGGUUGAGGCUGAGCAGGUGUGUGUGGAGCUGCAGCACAGUGUGUCUGGUCUGGACGGCCGCCUGGCAGAGCUCCUGCACUGGGAGACAGAGGCCCGGGACCUCUACCAGAUCCUGAAGGCAGGAGAACGCAGGGCUUCACGGUGCCAGGACCCCCGCGCCAGGGUAAGACUUAGACAGGGGCCAAUAGUAACAUACUAGACUAAGGAAAACAUCACAUAAGUGCCAAAGGAAUACGGUAAACAGCAGUAGCUUUACUAGAAUAGUUAGCUAGCCUGGUUAGGAAUGUAGAAGCAAGGUAAGUAAGCAUGUUCAACACAGGGGCUAGACAAGCAUUGAUAAUUAUGUGCUGGGUGAAGAUCAGAGAAUUACCUCGUUUAUGAAUAUUGUCAUUUACUUUUGUAAUUUACAAGUGCUCAUUGUGUUUGCUGUUCUCUCCAGGUGCUGAUCUCUCGUGGGCUGCAGCUGGAGGGUCAGGUGGUGACAGAGGAGCAGGAUCUGCAGGUGAUGGUGAUGACAGGACAGAAGAACUCUCCCCUCCAGUACCUCCUUGUCUCCACCAUGCAGGACAGAGUCAGAGCUGCCGUGGCUCAGUCACAGGCCAGUAUUCCCUCUCUCUUAUCACUUUCCUUUUUCCUUUAUUGACCUUGAGUGAAAUUGUGAUUGACAAAGCUAUAACUUUGAUUU